CGUUUUUUCGGAUGGACGCUAUGGCAAUAGGCCCAGAAACGGUUCGAAAAACCGUUCGGUUUCGGCCCGAAAUCGGUCCUUUUUUUCGGAUGGACGAUGGCAAUCGGCCCAGAAACGGUUCGAAAACCGUUCAGAUUUGGUUGGAAAACGGUCCGCUUGUUUUGACAUUUGAUCUGCUCGAACUGGUUGAAAAAACUUAUCGUCGCCCGAAAAAGUGUUUCAUUUUCGCACGAUUUUCUACUAAAUUCGGCCCGAUUUCUUAUACGAUUUCGGACCGAUCGAGCAGAUGUACGGACAAAAAUCGGGCCGAUUUCGGGCGAUUUUUCCUGUCUGGGCUUCGAGGACCAAUGUUGUGAGGAGAUGGCUUGAGGGUUGUUCGAGUUUACCUAAUUCGAAGCUCAUUCGUCAUCAACAGAAGGUGACAUGAAAAGAAAUACUAAAAAGAAAAAGGAAAAAAGAGAAAAAAAGGAAAAGAAAAAUAUGAUAUUAGUUAAUAUCAUCUAUCAAUAUACAAUAAGAAGCCUAGCCCAAACUAAUAAUAAAUCUAGCUUAAAUAGCUUGAUUGAUAUUGUCUACUCAUCUGUUAGGGAAGAAUGGCAGUUUAACUUCCUUGAUAAAAAAAAGUCUACUCAUCAACAGAACAUAAAAUGCACAAUGCUGUUCUUCUAAAACCUCAUUACUCUUUGUGGUCAGCCUCUCUGACAACCUAUACUAAUUUUACAUAGGGGUUCUAUUAAAAUAUACCAUGUGCCUACUUUUAAAUGCCCGAAAUCAGUUAUCUGGACUACCUACUCAUAGUUGUUCUUCAAAAUCAUACAUUCUACUAUCUAAUAUAAUUUUUCCGUUUUUUCUUAAAUCUAGCAUUUUCAAAAUAAUUUCGACAUUUAUGAUUUAUGUGUGAUGAAUGUUGUUCAUUUUACCCUGAGAUUUGGUAAUUUUACAAUGCGCUUCGUUUUUGAGUGCAUUUUAUUAUGUUUUGUUUUCAUCGGUCGCGAUUUUGGAACACAAAAAAUAAAAUGUUGCUCGGGUUCGUCGAUUUGUAAUCGUUCACCGCGAAGAAAAAUGUUAGUGUUUGGUCAACGAUCACAAAGCUGGCCGCCCUCCCGGCCAAUAUACGGAUUCGGAUGCGGUACGAUGCGAAAUCGACCAUUGAUGGGGCUACCGGAAACCAUGGGGGCUGGCGUUCAGAGUAAGACAAUUCCGGAAUUGGAUUAACAAGUUUAAAAACGACUCCGAUGACUCAGACGAUGAUUCAGGAAUACCGCAUUUUUUCAGUGGCGGCGAAUGCUGUUAUCGUCUAAAUGGUCCAAAUUUCCCUACCGUGGGAACAUUCCUUGAUGGUGAUAUUAGGGCACAAUUGGUCAAUGUUGCCGAACAUUGAAUCUCCAACAGUCGUUCCAAAGCUUUCUGGAACUGGGACAAAGUAUGCUGUUGCAACUCAUUGAAAGCGGGACGCAGGCCUGGAAAAGAGAGUCUUAUAGUUCUUCUGAUUUAAAAUUGAAAUCGCUGUCUGCGAACUAAAUGGAACAGCUACAUAUGCAGUAGGACAAACAAAAAAAACACAGGUCCAUGCUGGGCGUUCGGAUCUAAACUGACGGUUCACGGCUUGACACUAGAAACCUUAUCAGCCCUGGCAGUAGAAGGUGACACUAACAUAUUGAAGUGAAUUGUACUCUACACGAGUCCUGAAUACAUGGGCAUGUGCUGCAAUGUGAGUUGGAUACAAAACCAUCAUGCAAGCUCUGGUUCUUUAAUUGAACCGGAAUAGAAAUUAUUCAUACUUGCCCUGUUUUUUAUCAUUGAACGUGUCAAUGAUCGAGAUGGUGCAUCAAGACCCCGUGCUUGCAAAGGGACAUCAGUUCCAGGAAUGUGUUUGUCUAACUGCCGUUCUACUAUAACGGGUGGCUCAAUAAACGCAGGAGAGAUUAAAGUAGGAAUUAGGAAUGCAUCUGAUACCGGGAGUGGCAGCCGUCCUGUUGCUGGCGUCGAGAUGGUAGCUAAACAGAUGAUCGUUUUUUUUUUUAUCUACAUGAUAUCUCAAUCUUCCGAAAUCCGAUCAAGUCAUAGUAGAAUGGUUCUUAAAACAUUCGGACCUGCUUCUGAAGAUUUCAAUUUUCCUAAUAAGAAAAAUCUGCACAGUACUAAUCAAAGGAUCGUCAUCUACUAACACAUAUUAUCGAAUUCGAGCAGUUUUUAUUCAGUCGAGAAAACUAACUAAUUGAAAUUUCUAUUUAAAACUCGUAUGUAUCGCUACGCUGUAGGCGAUUCACAAGUGCUGUGAAAUUAGGAUUAAGUUAAAUUUAAUUCUUGACCAAAUACGUAUAGGUGUUGUACGAUUUAAAAUUAGAUAAUUUUAAAAAAAUAUUAAAAAAAAAAUGAAGUCUCAGCGG